AAAGGGCCCACAAAGAAAGAAUAACCCGCGCCUCCAAGGACCAGGACGUCACUGCAAGUGUCGCAGGGAAUCUUCUUUAAUGGAACGUUACUCCCCGUGCUUCAGGAAGCAAGGCAGGCUGGUAUAAGAGGGGCGGGGAUCCCGAAGGUCCUGAUGGGAGUUGCAGUUCUCUUGCGCACUGUUUCCACCGAACCAGCGGCGUUUCGCGGAAUUUCACGAGGGACCUUCUUAUCCCUUAAGAUAGGAGUUGGAUAUCGCCUCCCUCUUCAUGGGUGUGGACGAAAUGAUGGAUGAAUAAAAUGAAUGGCUUAAGAAA